UGCCACAAACCCGUAGAUCCGAACUUGUGGUGACUCUGGGCACAAGCUCGUGUCUACAGGUAUGUGUCUG
rfam:Astyanax mexicanus Tnplaced_Scaffold_50, whole genome shotgun sequence.